ensembl:lncRNA
GCAGGGGUGACAGAAGGGGAGAAGGGCAGAGGGUGGCCCCAGGGGCCCCCGGAGCGAGGCCUGGAUGCUGGACCAAGCCCGGGAGGGGGCAAGUGGGGCAGCUCGCCGGAGGAGACGUGCCUUCACGUCGGCCGCCAAGGCAGCGGCGGCAGCGGCGGCGGCGGCGGCGGCGACUGGAGACUGAAGGGGAGGAGGUUUGGGGAGGGAGGGAGCUCGGGGGAGAGGGAGGGAGGGACGGAGCCGUGGCGGGGAGGUGGGGCCGGCGGGCGGGCGGCUGCAGCUGCCGCCGGCGUCUCGGGGGCUCCAGGCUGCGGGGCGGACGCAGCGCCUAGUGAUCCACCGCGGAGCCGCGCGAGGCCGCCCGAGCCCGAGCCCCAGCCCCGAGCCCCGAGCGAGCGCCGCCGCCGCCUCUCGCCAGCCGGUCCCCGGACGCGCCGCCGCCGCCACCGCCGGGAAGGCAGCCGGUGCCUAGGAAGUUGCGAGUGCGCUUCUCCGCCCGGGGAAAGUUUCCCCCGCGGCCGCCGACUGGAGUUGGCGCGGGAUCCGGCCACUGCCGCUGGAAGAGUUUAUCCUGAAGCUACCAUCAGAAAGAGACUUCAAGAGAAUCUUGACAUCCCUGAAAGGAAAAGACAACAGUUGAAAGAGGUGGGCAUCUCCUGGACAGCCCCGAGCUUGCAGGGACCAGACCUUCCGACCCCAUCAUCCAAGCUACGUGAACCCUUUGAAUUUGAACUUCCAAAAACGUGGGCACAACCUUUUUCCAGACUUCUCGACGCAGGCUACCCAGGACAAGCUGGGCCAAUAACGGAAAUAUACAGGAACCCCUCUGACCAAGAGACUGUCCCGCUGACAUCAGAACUGCCCAGGGGGAGCACCAUGGAAGGCGACUGUCUGAGCUGCAUGAAGUAUCUGAUGUUUGUAUUCAAUUUCUUCAUAUUUGUAAGUAUUCCUGGAACAUUCCCAGGGUCUCCCCAGGCCUCUGCGGGGUGGGCAGGACUGACUGCGGCUUGAAAGUCACAUGGGGCUGAGUCCCAGGAACAGGAAUGGGGGCCAGUGCUAGAAGCAGCUCUACCUGCCCAGCUGGGGGCUCACGGCGGGGAGGCCCCCAGCAGUGCCCACCCCACUCGUAGCGCCCACCAUCACAGGAGAGAUGUUUUGCACAGCCCCUGGGAUGAUGCUUCAGCUAUUCUAAAAAAGAAAAGAUAGGGGCCUCAGUCCUGGCUACUAUCUUGAAAUCUGACCCCUGGUAGGGAGUUGUGGGGGGGGGAGGAUGGGGGUGAUCAGAGGGCAGCAGGGAGCCCCACCCAGCCCUGACCCCCCAGAGCAGUUAUGCGCAGCAGAGCUGGAUGGGCGGAGCUGAUGGAGCCACCUGAUGAAAUCUGAAACCUCUCUGGGACCAAGAGACCUGGGUUCAAAGCCCAGCUCUGCAUCUCUCCAGCUGUGAUCUGAAACACAUUUCACCCCUCUGAACCUCAGUAUCUUCAUCCUUUAAUCUCCUCCCUCAGCAGGUUUUUUGCAAAUGAAGCAAGAUUAGUUUAGGAAGUGCCUGGAAUGUGUCAGCUCCAUCCCCAUCCAACCUAUGGAUUCUAUGCGUGAAAGAACAGAGGCCCUGGGGGCUCAGGUGGCCAGCCCAGCGCCCUGUAGCACAGCUCACCUGCUCUGCUCAGACCCAUGGCCUCUCCCAGGAGCAGAGCCACGCUCAUCGUGUGACCCCACCUCAACCUUUGACCUUAGUGCUGCCAAGACCUCGAUGAGUAAACAUCUACUGAUGUCCCCCAGGGCAGGGUCACUAGGCAAGAGAGGCCUCUUCUGGUCAAGACUGACUCUUGUCCGUCUGUCUGUCACCAUCUAUUUUUUGUACAUUUCAGCAACUCUCCUGGAUUCCCUCCCCUGCUCCUAAUCCUGAAGAGCAGGGAGCCCCACAGACUUGAAUUCUAGACCCAACUUCCAAGCUGGGUGGCCCUGGGCAGCCCCAGUGUCCCUAGGUGAAAUGGGGCUGAGUCAUCCUGGGCCGCCCAGUUCAUGCCUGAGCCCCGCCCUUGAAGCAGAACUCAGCACACAAUUAUUAAAGCCCCAAACCUCCAACAGCUAUGAGAAGGUUUCCCUGGAGGUUUGUGGGGAGACCAAGGAGAAAGGCGUUGGGCAGCAGACAGCGAAAAUGUAGAUUCUGUCGUUCACUGUCCCGGGGUCCCUCAGGCCUCUCUGCCUCCCCCGUCCCACCACCGCACCUGAAAAUAUCGCCUCUUGCCCCAAACCAUCCAGCUCUUCCCCCAGCUUACAGAGCCCCCAGCCAAGCCAAAGCUCAGCAGUUUUCUGUCAUUCCUCAGGUCCUCCCACGACACGGGGAUUUCAAACACUUCCCAGCCUUUAAAAUCUGAUGAUGCCAAACGGUUUCUGCUGCAACAGGUCUGUUUCCAAUGCUGGUCUGUGCCCAAGACCAGUGGAACAGAUGUUUAUUGAACCCUGCUAAACACCUUCACGUCCGUUCUGUCCUUUCUUCUUAUUCGGGGCCACCUUGGGAGGUGGGAAACAGUAUCUUCUUUUAACCACGGGGAAGCCAAGGUUCAGAGAGGUUAAGCCACUUACCCAAGGUCACACAGC